GACGAACGCUGGCGGCGUGCCUAAUACAUGCAAGUCGAGCGGCCUCUCAGGAGUGCUUGCCCCUCGGAAGGUGAGCGGCGGACGGGUGUGUAACAUGCAGGCAACCCUCCUUUUUGACGGGGAUAACAUUCGGAAACGAUAGCUUAUUCCGGAAAGCCGCAUUUCUCGCAUGAGGGGAUCGGUUAAGGCGUUGCACUCUUCCACUAAUGGAUGGGCCUUCGGCGCAUUAGCUGGUUGGUGGGGUAACGGCCUACCAAGGCGACGAUGCGUAGCCGACCUGAGAGGAUGAUCGGCCACACUGGAACUGAGACACGGCCCAGACUCCUACGGGAGGCAGCAGUAGGGAAUAUUCCGCAAUGGGCGCAAGUCUGACGGAGCAACACCGCGUGAGUGAAGAAGGCCUUCGGGUCGUAAAGCUCUGUUGCCAGGGAAGAACGGGUAGAGGAGUAACUGCCCUUGUCAUGACGGUACCUGAAGAGAAAGCCCCGGCUAACUACGUG
rnacentral:rRNA from 1 species